GGGGUGGGAGGCAAAAAAGCAUGGCCGAUAGAAAACUCAAAGUGUCAGGAAUCAACCCAAACAUAUCAUUAAGUAUAAGAAAUUAUGAAUAAGUUGUUAUAAAUUAAAGGAAAGACAUUCAAAUUGGGUUUUUGAAAAUCCAGUUAGAUGAUUUACAAGUGUUCAGUUAUCUAUUGCUACAUGACAAACCACUCUAAAACUUAAUGGUUUAAGAUGAAGAUGAUUGAUCAUUUUUCAUAGUCCUGUAGGCUGGUAUCUGUGUGGUUCUUCUGCUGAUCUUGUUGGGAGCACUCAUGUGGUUGCUGUCAGCUGACAGCUCAGCCAGAGCUGGAGACUCCAGGAUGUCCCCCGUGCAUGUCUGGGGGUCAGUAAUUGUCUUGACUGGGGCGCCUCAGUUCUCUUCCAUGUGGUAGUUGUCCUAUUGUAAAAAUGACCAUUUAGGAAUACUCUUGCUGUCCACUGGGCUGACUCACAGGCAUUGUGACAUGAAAGGUCAGGGUCAAAUGUAUCACAAUAUGAACUUGGGCUGGCAUGGUGGCUCACAUCUAUAAUCCCAGCACUUUGGGAGGCCAAGGUGGGAGGAUCACUUGAGGCCAGGCGUUAAGAAACCAGCUUGAACAACAUAGUAAGACCUCAUCUCUACAAAAAAUACAAAAAUUAGGCCUCACAAGAUCAAGAUCCUCUCUUGCUUCUCUAGAGAAUGUGCUCCAUCAAAAAGAGAGAAUAAACCAAGAAGAGGAAGACAGAGGAUCCGGAAACAGGGAUGAUGGUGCACGGAAGUCCCAGGAUGACAGCUGUGCAUCAGGCCUUCAGCAGCCAGGAUGGGAGCAGAAGGAUGGGGAGCUCUGGGAGUGUCUCCAAGAAAGAAAAAGAAACUGAUCAAAUAUCUAAUUUUUAAAACAUAUUGAGGGGAAAUUUAUACUUCUGCAAUAAAUUUUAGGAUAUCGUAAUAGAAACUAAGAAAAUAACAAAUAAAAAAACAAAAAAACAAAAAACAAGGUAAUUAUCAACCGCGGGAGAAGAAAGGUUGUAUGAGAAAAGAAAUAAAAACAGAAUUCAGUACAUGGAUCAGCUGUGAACUGUGUUUGCAUAAUUAUUAUAAUGUAAACAUUGGAACAAUCAUUUCAGCAAAAGUUGCAAUUUAAUCAUAUUGGAAGGAUGAAAGGAAAGUUGAGUGUGUUUGUGUCUUUGUGAAAGAACGAAUUUAUUCAACCUCCAUAGGAAGUCAAUAGGUGAUACAUAAAAUUGAAAAAAUAACAGGAAAGCAUGUUAUUUUUUAAUAUGGUAGGAAACAGCAGAAAAAACUGAAAAAGUUCAAAGUGGAAGGGAAAGCACUAGGAACUGGAAUCAGAGAUAAAGUAUGGGACUGUUUUCUCAUUAUAAACCUUAGAGAAUUAUUAAUUAAAAAUGAAUUCUAACACUAG
rnacentral:lncRNA from 1 species